rnacentral:rRNA from 1 species
UACGUAGGGGGCAAGCGUUGUCCGGAUUUAUUGGGCGUAAAGAGCUCGUAGGCGGUUGGGUAAGUCGGGUGUGAAAACUCCAGGCUCAACUUGGAGACGCCACCCGAUACUGCUCUGACUUGAGUUCGGUAGGGGAGUGGGGAAUUCCUGGUGUAGCGGUGAAAUGCGCAGAUAUCAGGAGGAACACCGGUGGCGAAGGCGGCUAUCUGGACCGACAUUGACGCUCAGGGGCGAAAGCGUGGGGAGCGAACCGG